rnacentral:rRNA from 1 species
AACUGUGAGACAGGUGCUGCAUGGCUGUCGUCAGCUCGUGCUGUGAAGUGUCGGGUUAAGUCCCUUAACGAGCGCAACCCCUAUCGUUAGUUACUAACGCGUUAUGGCGAGGACUCUAGCGAGACUGCCGGUGUCAAACCGGAGGAAGGUGGGGAUGACGUCAAGUCCUCAUGGCCCUUACACGCUGGGCUACACACGUGCUACAAUGGCGGUGACAGUGGGCAGCUACUUCGCGAGAAGAUGCUAAUCUCUAAAAACCGUCUCAGUUCGGAUUGUUCUCUGCAACUCGAGAGCAUGAAGGCGGAAUCGCUAGUAAUCGCGGAUCAGCAUGCCGCGGUGAAUACGUUCCCAGGCCUUGUACACACCGCCCGUCACACCAUGGGAGUUGGUUUUACCUGACGCCGGUGGGCUAACCAGUUUACUGGAGGCAGCCGACCACGGUAGAGUCAGCGACUGGGGUGAAGUCGGAACAAGGUAGCCGUAGGGGAACCUGCGGCUGGAUCACCUCCUU